UAAUACGUAGGGUCCGAGCGUUGUCCGGAAUUAUUGGGCGUAAAGGGCUCGUAGGCGGUCUGUUGCGUCGGGAGUGAAAACUUACAGCUUAACUGUGAGCGUGCUUCCGAUACGGGCAGACUUGAGGUAUUCAGGGGAGAACGGAAUUCCUGGUGUAGCGGUGAAAUGCGCAGAUAUCAGGAGGAACACCGGUGGCGAAGGCGGUUCUC
rnacentral:rRNA from 1 species